rnacentral:rRNA from 1 species
UCGAGGGGUAACAUAGAAGAGCUUGCUUUUCUGAUGACGACCGGCGCACGGGUGCGUAACGCGUAUGCAACCUACCCUAUACUGAGGGAUAGCCCGAAGAAAUUCGGAUUAAUACCUCAUAGUAAUUAUUAACCGCAUGGUUUUAUAAUUUAAAGAUUACGGUAUAGGAUGGGCAUGCGUCCCAUUAGCUUGAUGGUAAGGUAACGGCUUACCAUGGCAACGAUGGGUAGGGGGCCUGAGAGGGUGAUCCCCCACACUGGUACUGAGACACGGACCAGACUCC